rnacentral:sRNA from 1 species
AUUUCAUCAGUCCUGCGUUCACCCCAGAUUUGCCAAUGUCCAUGUCUGGCCAUUGCGAAUCUCCUUCUCAGUAGUCUAGAAAUUCGCCUCAGUUUUCCCUCCACUCUGGCUCCUUCUGUUAAAAGAUCACAGCAGAACCUCAAAACCUGUCCUGCAGUUCCAGUUCAUAGCACCCUCUCCUCAAAGCAGACGGCUCAGAUGAAGUGCCUGAAGGAGUCCCUGGGAAUCAGAUCUGUGUCCGGCAUUUUAUGAGAUUCUCUUGUACCCAGCCUGGCUUUGAACUUGCUAAGUAGCCAAGGAUCUCCCAAGCUUCCAAUCCUACUGCUGAUGCCUCCUAAGGCUGAAUUGCCAAUGUAUGUCACCACACCCACUUUUGCCUAUAGCAAUUAUUUUAUUGUUUUGAAACAAGGGUUUCACUAUGUAUCUUUGGCUAGCUUGGAACUCACAAUGUAGACCAGGCUGGCCUGGAACUCACAGAUAUCUCCCUGCCUCUGCCUCCCAAAUACUAGAAUGAUAUGAGUACAUCACCAUGCCUAGCUGGUUUUUGGGUUUUGUUUUAAACAGGGUAUCCUGCAUCCCACCCAGGCUGGCCCAUAAAUCACUGUCUCACUACACAGCCAAGGAUGACCUUUAACUCCUGGUUCUCCUGCUUUUAGCUCCUGAGUGCUGGAAUUACAGUCAUAGGCAGCCACACCUAGUUAUACAGUUCUGGAGAUCAAACUCAGGGCUUUGUACAUGCUAGGCAAGCACUUUGCCAACUGAUAUCAUCCCCAGCCCUGUAUCCCAAUUUCUAUGUGAUCCUUCAGUCUUUCUGCCCUGCCUUCUUACCAUAAUGCUAACCAGCACUUUGCCAUUCAUUAUAAAUUCAGCAGACACAAACUAAUCACUUCAGUGCGCUAAACACUACAUACCGGUGCCGCAGAUGAUAAAGACCGUCUCUCCAGGGUCAACACCAAGGUGGGUCUUUCAAAAAGCUAUUCGCUUAGCAAAAGGGUUUGUUCCCAGAAUGACAGAAUUUGGAUUUGUUCUUCCAGUAACGAGAUACCCUUUGGACAAGGCUUUUCUUGGUUUCGGUGAUCUGUUUUUGUUGAUGCGUUACAGUGUAUGCGAACACGUUGAACCCUGGGCUUUGCACAUGGUUCACUAUUUUAUACCAUGGAGCCACUCCCACAGGUGCUUUUUUCCCAUUUUGUGGAGGAAGCUUCACUCUUCUUCCCCUGUCAGAACAGAUGUUGCAAAGUAAGAUCCUUCUGCACGACCCUUCCCUUUUCCUUGGGCAUCACGAUGCCUGUAUCCCUGCUCAGUUUCAAAGGCCAGGGGACAGUCUGUGAGUCUUGUGUCUUAGUGGGGUAAAAAGACAGAGUAGAUGACCACCACAUAUAGGUAUGCCACUGGAGGCAGGUUCCUGGCCCUCUCCAAAACUCACCCUUAUCUGUACCUCAGCCAUCCCUUUCAUCCUCAGCCCUUUCCCCCCUUUCAUUCAACUGGUCAAAUCUUCAGGCAUGCCACUGGAACCCUGUUGACCCAUAGAUAAUGAGUGUCAUGGUUAAUCAUGACUCAGAUUGAUUGGAUUUAGAGUUGCCAUGGAAACAAACCUCUGGGCACAUCUGUGAGGGAGUUUCAAGAUUAGGCUAAUUAGGUGAGAAGACCUACCCUGUGGAUAGUAUCAUUCUAUGGGGAAGGAGUCCAGACUGACCAGGAAGGGAAAAAGCAAGCUGGGCAUCAGCUUUAACCUGUCUGCUUCCUGCCUAGAUGCACUGUGAGCAGCUGCCUUGUGCUCCUGCUGCCGUGCCUUCCUCUGCUAUGAUGGACUCCGCCCUCAAAGUUCUGACUAAAAUGAAACAUUCCUUCCCUGAGUUGCUUUCAUCGGGUAUUUGUUUCAAGGUUGAAGGAAGAAAUAGAGAGUGGGGAGGGAGCACCAACCUCACUUGUUCUAUGGGGCUUGUUCUACACCAUGUCCUAAGAAUUCUCACAACAACCUAGUGAGGAUUAUUUUUGUCUCCAGUAUGACCAUGAGGAAAUGAAAGGUCGACACCUGGGGUGACCUAUCAAGGCCACAAACUACAGAAUGGAAGGGGGAGAACUUGAGCCCCAGCCACGUCUUCCACGUCUACUGUCAACCACUGUGCACUUCUUCCUAGUGACAAUGCUUCUGGAUCACUACAAAUAUCACCUACUCCAGUGUCUCCCACUCAGCCACUACAUCCAGGUACACAGCCCAGAGUCACCUUAGAAGAGAGUUUCAGAUGAGAAUUUGCAGAGAUAAGAUUGGCCUAUGUGGAUGGCCGUGACAGAUUGUCUUGAUUGCUAAACCAUGUAGGAAACACCAGCCCACUGUGGGUAGUAUCAUUCCCUACGCAGUUGGUCCUGAGCUGUGUAAGGAAGCUGGCUAAGCAUGAGCUGGGGUGUGUGAGCCAGGAAGCAGCAUCCCCCUAAGAUUCUGCUUCUAGUUGCUGCUGGAAGUGUAAGACAAAUAAACUCUUAUCCUCUGA